GGCUCUGUGGCGCAAUGGACAGCGCAUUGGACUUCUAAUUCAAAGGUUGUGGGUUCGAGUCCCACCAGAGUCA